rnacentral:rRNA from 1 species
UACAGAGGUCUCAAGCGUUGUUCGGAUUCAUUGGGCGUAAAGGGUGCGUAGGUGGCGAGGCAAGUCAGAUGUGAAAUCCCGGGGCUCAACCCCGGAACUGCAUUUGAAACUGCCUUGCUCGAGUACUGGAGAGGAGACUGGAAUUUACGGUGUAGCAGUGAAAUGCGUAGAUAUCGUAAGGAAGACCAGUGGCGAAGGCGAGUCUCUGGACAGUUACUGACACUGAGGCACGAAGGCCAGGGGAGCAAACGG